rnacentral:rRNA from 1 species
AAUGAACGCUGGCGGCGUGCUUAACACAUGCAAGUCGUACGAGAACUCUUCUGCUUGCAGAAGAAAGUAAAGUGGCGUACGGGUGAGUAACGCGUGGGUAAUCUACCUUCAAAUCGGGGAUAACAACGCGAAAGCGAUGCUAAUACCGGAUAAUAUCUCAAGAACCCUGGUUUAUGCGAUUAAAGGUGGCCUCUAUAUAUAAGCUACCGUUUGAAGAUGAGCCCGCGUACCAUUAGCUUGUUGGUAGGGUAAUGGCCUACCAAGGCUUCGAUGGUUAGCUGGUCUGAGAGGAUGAUCAGCCACACUGGAACUGACACACGGUCCAGACACCUACGGGAGGCAG